rnacentral:rRNA from 1 species
UGCCAGCCGCCGCGGUAAUACGGAGGGGGUUAGCGUUGUUCGGAAUUACUGGGCGUAAGGCGCACGUAGGCGGACUGGAAAGUAUGGGGUGAAAUCCCAGGGCUCAACCCUGGAACUGCCUCAUAAACUAUCAGUCUAGAGUUCGAGAGAGGUAAGUGGAAUUCCUAGUGUAGAGGUGAAAUUCGUAGAUAUUAGGAAGAACACCAGUGGCGAAGGCGACUUUCUGGCUCGUAACUGACGCUGAGGCACGAAAGCGUGGGGAGCAAACAGGAUUAGAUA